GUUUCCGUUGCUUUUUAUUGCUGUUGUAUUAUUGCACAUUUUCUGUAAAUGGAAGAACACAAUUGAUCUUGCUCCAUGAUAAAAUUUGUUUGUUUGUUUUAGUUCUAUAUGCCAGCAGGAAAAAAUAUACAUCUAGAUAAACUAUUUAUUUCAGACAAAAAGUGAGUUUAUAUUAGGGGAUCAGUGGAAUUGUUUCUGUGUACUAGACCUAGGUACAUAGCCAACAAAAUAAGAAAGCCACAAUUAUAACAGACUCACAGAAUGAAUCACGGAAGGACUUGGCUUGUAAGGGACCUUAAAGUCCACACAGUUCCAACCCCCUGCUGAGGGUUUGUGUCCACCCACCACAUCAGGGUCCCAUCCAGCUCUGCCUUGCAUGCCUCCAGGGAUGGGUCACCCCACAGCUUCUCUGAGCAGCAGUGCCAGUGCCUCAUUGCAUUUUAGGUGUCAGUUAAAUGUCAGUGAUUAUAGAUGUUAUGGUCUGUGGAUCCAGAAGUAUUAAGGGCUGCACAUCUGAGUACUACAGACACCUGGAUCAUCCCUCAGAGCAUUCCCAAGCUCCUGAAGUACUCUCUAGAAUGCAUAGAUUUUUAUUUUCUUAAAAAGAGUUUAAAACUCCUUAUGUAAAUAAAUAUAUAUUUAAAUAUUCUGAAUAGUCUAAAUAUUCUAAUAUUUAGUCAAUAUAUUCUAAUACUGUAAUAGACUUUGGGGAAAUGGGUAUUUUGAAACCAUCUGCAGUAAAGCACAGUUGACAUCCUCAAUUUCACCUCUGCACUAUACAAAAGUUUCACAGUGAGAAUGAAGUCUGUGUUAUAGGCAUCACAGCUGUACCACAGCUAGAGGUAGUUAGGCCUUAUUCUGUAUGCUCUGUGGUUGAGGAUUAACCCUGAGCUACUUCUGAUGGCUCUGAGGCUGUGACACAGCGGGUAAAUUCACCAUCUCACUUGGCAUAACUUUACCUAUGGAGUAAGAUAUAAUUAUGGGGGAAAGCAACGAGCCUUAAAUUAGAAAUAAUGGCCCCUGUCGGCCUGGCAGCAGCUGGAUGCUGUUGCUGACUGCGCUGUUGUGUCUGUGGGUUGGCAGGCACAGAGCAGGGAGCUGUGCUUAGAGGCGUCCCUUAUCCAGACACCUGAGGACAGUGUCUGUUCCAUAGGAAGAGAAGUGAGAGGUGUGUGUGGUCAAGGCACAGAGCAGCCCCGGUCCUCCUCCAGGGCAGGUUCCUUUGGGGGCCCUCUGUGUGGGGCUGUCAUGCAAGGAGGCCUGCGGGUUGUGCUCCUGCUUCAUGCAGUAUUUUAUUAGCUGUUGUUUGACAUAAUGCCACGUGCCUGUGUCCAAGUGCUCCGAGGAGAUCAAGAACUACAUCGAGGAACGCUCGGGAGAGGACCCACUGGUGAAAGGUGUCCCGGAG